CCUCAAUUCAGGCACAAGACCCCAUGUCUCUGAUUUCUCAUGUAGUUCCCAUGAAAGUACUUGGACUCCUCGUCCGUGUGGCCUGAUCUUUCUCCUCAUGCACUUGGGCCCAUGAGGGCUCUUUGCCUUCCUGGGAAGGCUUCUUCCCAGCUCCUGACCUUCCGUUGUCCACGAGGCAGGUAAAUAUAGAAAUAUUUGUGGGCUGCACUUAUGCUUUGAAAAAAGAAAUAGAGCACAGAGGUUUUAAGCAAGUUGCCAAAGGUCACACAGCUGGGAAGUAAUAAAACCAGGAGUUGAUGUUAAGAAGUUAGAGUAAGUGCUCUUAACUCCUACCCUGUCUCUGCCUCUCAAGCGUUCAGCCAGCAUCAGUGUCCCUUUUUCUCCUUUUAUAUAAUCAACUCAGUACUGGCAAUGUGGCCUUGAUUUAUGUUUGGAGUCAUGAAAUACCUGACUAGUUCGGGCCAUUUCUCCAAAUCUCAAAAACCCUUAUGCUGGGCUUCUCGAACUUGGCUUCCCAUUGCAAUCACCUGGGGAGGUUUAAAACACAGUCAUAUCCGAGCCUCAUCCCGGAGAUUCUGAGGGUGUCGUUACGGGCUGUGUUGUGGGCACCAGGGUUUAUGAAAACUCCGCAGGUAAUUCUAAUGUGCAGCAUCGCCGAGAACCCCUGCUCUGAUAAACCUAAGCAUCAGCUGAUUCAACUGGCAAGGACGAUUUCACUCCGUCUAACCUGAUUUUAUUUCCGGGUGUUGAUGACGCAAGCAAACAUGUGAAAUAUGUACCAGCUUGGACCCACUCCUCAAGGGGAAGCUGAGGUAAAAUCGCAGUGGAAUAACCAUGCACGAGGGCUUGUGAGAAGACUUCAGCCACUCCCAGGAAAGCGACCAUCUGCACCCUCCAGGAAGGCUAACCUCCUUUCCAGAAAAGAGCCUGACGUGCAGUCGGGUUCCAGUGAGCAGUGUUUCCCGGGCGGCUGCACUUGGAGAGAUGGCCAUGGAACACCAGAGCUCAGGAUUCACUCACCCAUCCAUUCUACUAACGUGUUCAUGCCCCUGGGCACCUGCCCCGGCCUCUACAAGGCCUGGGGCCAGCAGUGAGCAAGGCAGGCAUGGUCUCUGCCUUAUGGAGUUCACCAGCUAAUGAGGAUGGACGUUUAAUGUUUAAAAUCAAAUAAUUAUAUAACUACGAGUUGUGAUAAGUGCCAGGAAAGGGGGGAAAUGGUGCUAUGAGAGAAAUUAAUAGAGGAAAUCUUGUUGACAUUGGAUGGUGAGUGAGGGGCAGGGCAGCCACCCUGGGCCCAAGAGGUGAGUAGGAUGUGGCUGGGGGAGGGGGUGAAGGGUAUUUCCAGGUAGGGGGCAUUAUAGGGGAAUGCUUAGCACUUUGCUCAAGGGAAUUAGCCUGACUGGAGGCAGUGGGCAGGGACAGAAAGGAUACUAGGAGAAGUGGAAGGGUGAGGGGGAUUUGGAAUUUUAUCCUGAGACCCAUGGGAAGCCUUAGGGCAGUUUGAGUGAGGGCCUGGUGGCGGGGGGGACAAGGGGGGGUUACAUGACCAUUGUGGGUCUUUAGGAGGAGGACACAUUGGAGAAGCGCCAGUGGAAGUGAAGUCAGCAGAGAGAACGUGAGAGGGGAUGGCACACAGCGCCCUCACCCCUCCCAUCAACCUUACCCUCCUCUUGCUUGGACCCUGGGGGUGAGGGAACAGCAGGUGCGUCCACUGCCCAUCAGCACUUGUGUUUUCUGCGUCUGGAGGAAUGAGGCGGCCGGGGUGGAGGUUGGCCGAGUUAUCGUGUUGCCCACUCUUCCAGGCCGGCCUCUGGGACACAGCAGGGUGGCAGGUCCUUGGUUUCCACACUGACUUGCAGCAUUCUCGUCCUUGGGGACGUGCCACCUGCUUGUGCUCUUUGGUGGUGAACAAACACAGGAGUGUAUUUACCCUCUGCGUCUCUCCCAUCCAUCUCCUUUUUUCCAGCCUCUGCUGACAUCCCAGCUCGGGCCCUGACCUCCUUUGACCUGGUUCGCUGCAGUAGACUUCUCUAACUGCCUCCCCACUGGUGUGACGACCUCAGCUAUCUCCUGCUAAUCAGGCCCUACCUUGAAAUCUGACUCAUCUUUCCAAGCCAUAGCCUUCAGGACACCACUUCCCUGAUUUUUCACGGCUCCUCAUUGCAGAAUGAGUUAAACUGAAGGUCUUAACCUUGGCCUUCAAGUUCCCAGAGUGCCUCUGCUCCCACCCCCUGGAUGACUGACCACACAGGACCACUCUCUGACCACGGCUUUUGCUCUCCUGUCUCCUGCCUUUGGAAUCGGCCCUGCCUGUCAAAACCACGUGAUGUUUCCCCUCCGUGAAGGACAAGGGCAAAUUCCUCCUGCCGGUUACUUCCGGCCUCAAUGUUUAUCUUCGCCAUGUGCCCUAUCCCGCUUGUUCUGUGAUCGCAUGUACCACAGCGUAUUCCUCACUGCUGCCCAUCUUAGUCCUGGGGUCACUUGGGGGAGGACCUGUGGCUGUACUUUUCUCCCCUCCUUGCCCCUUCCUCAGGGAGCAUUGUCAGCUUAGCAGCGGAUCAGAGCUGAGAGACACUGCCAUUCCUUACCUCUACGUGCUCGUUUUCUUUUUCUUCCUGCUUUGUUUCUUUCAGUGCCAAUGUUUUCUUUUAACAGAAUGUAGAGCUCCGGGCACUUUUUCUUCUGCUGAUGCAUCUACAGUGUCCCCUCCGCACUCUCAGCUCCUCGAUUCCUCAGGGAUGGGAAGGUAGAGGAGGGCCAGAUCCAUUUUCACCUGCCUUGCUAAUGGCCACAGGUUGGUAGUGCGAGCCAGCUUUUUGUUGACUCAGUCCCACUGAAGGGAGCCAAGAGGCUGUGUGUGUGUGAACCCUGAAGGUUCGCAGGCUCCCCAGCGGACAUGGCCCGAGGCCUCAGCACGUCGUUAGCUCAUGCAGAAAGUACCCUUCACGAAGUGUCAAACAGCAUAGUUGUGGCCUCCAACACUGCAGCUUCGGGUCAUAUCUCAAGUACCUUUGCCAGGUUUCAGGGACAUCACAGCUCUUAAAUGUCAAAGAACAGGGGAUCGAUGCUGCCCUGGACUCAGCCAGGAAAAUGUCUGAUGACAAUCGACAGGCUUGGGGCCACGCUCUACAAAAAUUCUGUACGGUCCCCGGAGUCCUCCCUUCUUGCACACACACCUUCUCAGUUUCCAAACUCAACUCAAGAAUGAGUUACAAAAAGACAGACAACACCAAACAUUAAUGAAGAUUUGGGACAAUAGGAAUUUUCAUACAUUGUUGGUGGAGACAUACAUUGUACAACCACCACUUUGAAAACGGCCUUCUGUUUCAUAUCCUCUACCCUGUGAUCUUAAGCCUUAUCCAAGAGGAAUGAAAACGUGUCCAUAGAAAGACCUCUAUUUAAACGUACGUAGCAGCCUAAGUGUCCUUCAGUAGAAGAAUGUAUGAAAAAGUACAUAUUCACAGUGUAUUCCUGCAAUGAAAUACUACCACCUAGCAAUAAAAAGGAACAUACCAAGGACGAACCCA
rnacentral:lncRNA from 1 species